rnacentral:rRNA from 1 species
UGCAAGUCGAGCGAACAGACGAGGAGCUUGCUCCUCUGACGUUAGCGGCGGACGGGUGAGUAACACGUGGAUAACCCACCUAUAAGACUGGGAUAACUUCGGGAAACCGGAGCUAAUACCGGAUAAUAUAUUGAACCGCAUGGUUCAAUAGUGAAAGACGGUUUUGCUGUCACUUAUAGAUGGAUCCGCGCCGCAUUAGCUAGUUGGUAAGGUAACGGCUUACCAAGGCAACGAUGCGUAGCCGACCUGAGAGGGUGAUCGGCCACACUGGAACUGAGACACGGUCCAGACUCCUACGGGAGGCAGCAGUAGGGAAUCUUCCGCAAUGGGCGAAAGCCUGACGGAGCAACGCCGCGUGAGUGAUGAAGGUCUUCGGAUCGUAAAACUCUGUUAUUAGGGAAGAACAAAUGUGUAAGUAACUAUGCACGUCUUGACGGUACCUAAUCAGAAAGCCACGGCUAACUACGUGCCAGCAGCCGCGGUAAUACGUAGGUGGCAAGCGUUAUCCGGAAUUAUUGGGCGUAAAGCGCGCGUAGGCGGUUUUUUAAGUCUGAUGUGAAAGCCCACGGCUCAACCGUGGAGGGUCAUUGGAAACUGGAAAACUUGAGUGCAGAAGAGGAAAGUGGAAUUCCAUGUGUAGCGGUGAAAUGCGCAGAGAUAUGGAGGAACACCAGUGGCGAAGGCGACUUUCUGGUCUGUAACUGACGCUGAUGUGCGAAAGCGUGGGGAUCAAACAGGAUUAGAUACCCUGGUAGU